GAUUUACUCUAAGCAAAACAAGAAAAGAUAAUCUUUGUGACUUAAAAGAAAGAACUAUUUGAAGUCUCAUGGCAAAGUAUGUGACUCCUCACUCCCUAAACUGACUUAAGUAAACUUACUUACAAGAUUUUUUCAAAAGAAUGCAUGAAAAGUUUCCAGAAUUUUGGCACUCACAUCCAGGAAUAAAACAUAAAAGGGACAGAGAGCACAUCCUACAGCAAAAGCUAGAGUGUAGGGAACAGGAGCAUAUACCAGGAGAGACUCUCACAACCGGUAGUUAGUAGAUUUAUAACAGCAGAAAAACCACUGUAACUUCAGUUGCUGAAGGUUGUUGAGUAGCUCCAGAUCAGAAAAAAUGAACCAGUGUCACUCCGGAGCUCUCAGUGUGCUGCGUGUGGACUGAAAGACAUCAACAGCCCACAUGUGGGAAGGCCAGCUUCUCUUCCCUUCUUGCCAGCAUGCCUCACUCCUCCAUUUAGUCACUGGACUUGCAGGUGGGACAGAAUUUGGAAACAAGACCUUAUAUUCAAAGUUUGCUGUAACAGGAGACGCAGUGCAUCUGUGGAUCCCUGCACUUGUAUGUGCCUGCCAGCCAACAAACCUGUGAAAGCUCUAAUGGAAACAGAAACUGAAUUGAAAGAGAGUCAUUCCUACCUGCAGCCUGCUUCAGAUGUAAUGAUUAUGAUUACAAACAACAAUGACUUUUCACAGUACAGUAUUUUUGACCACAAUUGGGUUCUACAUGAACUUGUUCUUAUGUAUACAUAA
rnacentral:lncRNA from 1 species